UGGUGGGUUGCCUUGUCAGGUUGAUUCCGGUAACGAACGAGACCUCAACCUGCUAAAUAGUCACGUCCGGUUUUUCCGGUCGGCCGACUUCUUAGAGGGACUAUUGGCGACUAGCCAAUGGAAGUUUGAGGCAAUAACA
rnacentral:rRNA from 1 species